GGGGUUGUGGCCGACCACUUGUCCAACCCUGCAAACUUUGUACCUUGCCCCGGAGGGGGUCAAACUGAUGUCCAAGUGCCAACCCCUGGUACCUGUGAAUGUGACCUUCUAUGGCAAUAGGGGCUUGGCAGGGGUAAUUAAGGAUCUUGAAAUAAGAUCAUUCUGGAUUUAGAGUGAGCCCUCAAUCCAAUGACAGGUAUCCUUCCAAGAGAAGGGAAAGGGAGAGCUGACACACAAAGACACAAGAAGCAGGCCACAAGAAGAUGUGUCAGCGAUGGGAGUGACAUGGCUACAAACCAGGGAAUGCCAAGCAUUGCCAGCAGCUACCGGAAGGCAUGUCCUCUACCUGAGAAGGAUUAAAUGAGUGAGGGACAGACAGCAAACCCAGGCUCCUACUCCCAAUGGAGCGGGUGAACGUGGAGAUGUUUCAUGUUUUAAAAAAAAGGUUUGGGACGCCUGGGUGGCUCAGUUGGUUGAGCAGCUGCCUUCGGCUCAGGUCAUGAUCCCAGCGUCCUGGGAUCGAGUCCCACAUCGGGCUCCUUGCUCCGCAGGGAGCCUGCUUCUCCCUCUGACUCUGCCUGCCACUCUGUCUGCCUCUG
rnacentral:lncRNA from 1 species